GACAGCGGAGGGAUCAUUACAGAGUUGCAAAACUCCAACAAACCAUCGCGAAUCUUACCCGUACGGUUGCCUCGGCGCUGGCGGUCCGGAAGGCCCUCGGGCCCCCGGAUCCUCGGGUCUCCCGCUCGCGGGAGGCUGCCCGCCGGAGUGCCGAAACCAAACUCUUGAUAUUUUAUGUCUCUCUGAGUAAACUUUUAAAUAAGUCAAAACUUUCAACAACGGAUCUCUUGGUUCUGGCAUCGAUGAAGAACGCAGCGAAAUGCGAUAAGUAAUGUGAAUUGCGGAAUUCAGUGAAUCAUCGAAUCUUUGAACGCACAUUGCGCUCGCCAGUAUUCUGGCGAGCAUGCCUGUUCGAGCGUCAUUUCAACCAUCAAGCUCUGCUUGCGUUGGGGAUCCGCGUCUGACGCGGUCCCUCAAAAACAGUGGCGGGCUCGCUAGUCACACCGAGCGUAGUAACUCUACAUCGCUAUGGUCGUGCGGCGGGUUCUUGCCGUAAAACCCCCAAUUUCUAAGGUUGACCUCGGAUCAGGUAGGAAUACCCGCUGAACUUAAGCAUAUCAAUAAGCGGAGGA
rnacentral:rRNA from 1 species